UUCUGAGUUGACACUUUUCAUUCAACAUGACCUCACCUUUCAUGUUUUUCCAAUCUGCAGCAUUACAAGGCCCACAGAUUCAGAAGUCGACCCCAAGUCACAAGACUGACUAGUUUCUUAAUUCGACCUGGUCUAUCCGCCACCCAUGCCAGGGGCCGUACAGAAGCAUGCUUCCGAUGUGGACAUUCCAGAGUUGCCACAGCCGCCACCACCAUCCGGGGCGCCUCAGUUUUCACAUCACGUUGUUCCAGGUCCUGACCCAGGAGCAACAGUGUAUCAACAGUUACAGGCUGAUGUCGACUGGCUUGCUUAUGCGUUGCAGUGGUUAGUUGAGGAGGCGCAGGAGCGACGACAGCGUGAGGGGUUACCUCCCCGACCGUACCAUCCAAGGGCCGUACAGAAGCAUGCUUCCGAUGUGGACAUUCCAGAGCUGCCACAGCCGCCACCACCGCCCGGGGCGCCUCAGUUUCCACAUCACGUUCCAGGUCCUGACCCAGGAGCAGCAUUAAGGGCUGAUGUUGGCUGGCAUGCUUAUGCGCUGCAGUG
rnacentral:lncRNA from 1 species